AGCUUAGCCAUGCAGUCUCAGUACGAGCUGACUUAAAGUGAAACCGCAAAAGGCUCAGUAAACCGGUCAUAGUUUACCGGAUAUAUGCCACUCACGUGGAUAACUGUGGUAAUUCUAGAGCUAAUACAUGCAAACAAGUCCCGACCAGCGAUGGAAAGGACGCUUUUAUUGGAUCAAAACCAUUCGCCCGGCUCGCCCGGGCGUCUGCUUGAUGACUCUAGAUAACACCACAGAUCGCACGGUCACAGUACCGGCGACGUAUCCGUCAAAUGUCUGACUUAUCAGCUGUCGAUGGUAGACUCUGUGUCUACCAUGGCGCUCACGGGUAACGGGGAAUCAGGGUUCGAUUCCGGAGAGGGAGCCUGAGAAACGGCUACCACAUCCAAGGAAGGCAGCAGGCACGCAAAUUACCCACUCCCGGCACGGGGAGGUAGUGACAAAAAAUAACGAUACGGGACUCAUCCGAGGCCCCGUAAUCGGAAUGAGAACACCCUAAAUCCUUUAACGAGGAUCUAUUGGAGGGCAAGUCUGGUGCCAGCAGCCGCGGUAAUUCCAGCUCCAAUAGCGUAUAUUAAAGUUGUUGCGGUUAAAAAGCUC
rnacentral:rRNA from 1 species